rnacentral:rRNA from 1 species
GACGAACGCUGGCGGCGUGCUUAACACAUGCAAGUCGAACGGAAAGGCACUGCGUUUGUGGGGUGCUCGAGUGGCGAACGGGUGAGUAACACGUGAGUAACCUGCCCUUGACUUUGGGAUAACUUCAGGAAACUGGGGCUAAUCCCGGAUAGGAGCUCCUGCUGCAUGGUGGGGGUUGGAAAGUUUCGGCGGUUGGGGAUGGACUGGCGGCUUAUCAGCUUGUUGGUGGGGUAGUGGCUUACCAACGCUUUGACGGGUCGCCGGCCUGAGAGGGUGACCGGCCUCAUUGGGACUGAGAUACGGACCAGACUCCUACGGGAGGCAGCGGUGGGGAAUAUUGCACAGUGGGCGGGAGCCUGAUGCAGCAACGCCGCGUGCGGGAUGACGGCCUUCUGGUUGUAAACCGCUUUCGCCUGUGACGAAGCGUGAGUGACGGUAAUGGGUGAAGAAGCACCGGCUAACUACGUG